rnacentral:rRNA from 1 species
UACGAAGGGGGCUAGCGUUGUUCGGAAUUACUGGGCGUAAAGCGCGCGCAGGCGGCUAUCCAAGUCAGUGGUGAAAGCCCGGAGCUCAACUCCGGAACUGCCAUUGAAACUGUUUAGCUGGAGUAUGAGAGAGGUGAGUGGAAUUCCCAGUGUAGAGGUGAAAUUCGUAGAUAUUCGCAAGAACACCAGUGGCGAAGGCGGCUCACUGGCCCGAUACUGACGCUGAUGCACGAAAGCGUGGGGAGCAAACAGG